rnacentral:rRNA from 1 species
UACAGAGGGUGCGAGCGUUAAUCGGAAUUACUGGGCGUAAAGCGUGCGUAGACGGUUAUGUAAGUCAGAUGUGAAAGCCCCGGGCUCAACCUGGGGAUGGCAUUUGAGACUGCAUAGCUAGGAUGCGGAAGAGGGAAGUGGAAUUUCCGGUGUAGCGGUGAAAUGCGUAGAUAUCGGAAGGAACAUCAGUGGCGAAAGCGACUUCCUGGUCCAGCAUCGACGUUCAGGCACGAAAGCGUGGGGAGCAAACAGG